GCUAUGCGCGAUUCGUGGAGGAUGAGAACCUGUUGCAGGUUCGAGUCGAACGAAGUGAGACAACGGAGCCGCUUGCGGCGACGGCCCGAAGGGCGAGCGAAGCGAGUCAUCCUGCACGACCCACCA
rnacentral:sRNA from 1 species